CCCUUAGAUGUUCUGGGCCGCACGCGCGCUACACUGACGAAUGCAACGAGCUUAUAACCUUGGCCGAAAGGUCUGGGUAAUCUCCAAAUUUCGUCGUGAUGGGGAUAGAUUAUUGCAAUUAUUAAUCUUCAACGAGGAAUGCCUAGUAAGUGCAAGUCAUCAGCUUGCGUUGAUUACGUCCCUGCCCUUUGUACACACCGCCCGUCGCUCCUACCGAUUGAAUGGUCCGGUGAAGCGUUCGGACCGUGGCCUUUGGACGGUUCGCCGUCUGUUGGCUGCGGGAAGUUCGUUAAACCUUAUCAUUUAGAGGAAGGAGAAGUCGUAACA
rnacentral:rRNA from 1 species